AUCACUGGAGAAAUAUGUUCUUAAAGGGAUACAGGAGGGGCCGGACAAGAUGAAUUACAUUUUCAGAAAUCUGAACAGACACAGCAAAUAUGAAGCCAUCUAACUGCGGUUGCUGAACAAACAACAUAAGUUGCAGGAGAAUUGCUGAAGUUACUCUGAGUGACACAUUUGAGCAUUGGAAUGUAGAAAAGCAACAGGUCACAAUGGCAGAAGUCCUGAAUUCCUUUAGAAGUGCUUGGAACUGAAGGCUGAGGUAGGUUGGAGGGCUUUUUAUCUUCCUGCCUGUUAGGAUAAAGGAGAUGUUUUGAGAACUGUCACUCUGGUGCCUUUCAAAACUACUAAAUUAAAAUAAAAAUGGUCAAGAUAACUGUGUAGUGGGAAGG
rnacentral:lncRNA from 1 species